AGCGGAGGAAGCUAAGCUAAGAACGCGACGUCCUGUCGCAACGCUUAGCUGACCCACAUCCUGUGGC
rfam:Planococcus rifietoensis strain M8, complete genome.